rnacentral:rRNA from 1 species
UACGGAGGGGGCGAGCGUUAUUCGGAAUUAUUGGGCGUAAAGGGCGCGUAGGCGGCCUUGCAAGUCAAAGGUGAAAUCCCUCGGCUCAACUGAGGAACUGCCUUUGAAACUGCAUGGCUUGAGGCCGGGAGGGGGUAGCGGAAUUCCCAGUGUAGCGGUGAAAUGCGUAGAUAUUGGGAGGAACACCAGUGGCGAAGGCGGCUACCUGGACCGGUUCUGACGCUGAUGCGCGAAAGCGUGGGGAGCGAACAGG